UACGUAGGGUGCGAGCGUUAAUCGGAAUUACUGGGCGUAAAGCGUGCGCAGGCGGUCUGUUAAGACCGAUGUGAAAUCCCCCGGGCUUAACCUGGGAACUGCAUUGGUGACUGGCAGGCUUUGAGUGUGGCAGAGGGAGGUAGAAUUCCACGUGUAGCAGUGAAAAUGCGUAGAGAUGUGGAGGAAUACCGAUGGCGGAAGGCAGCCUCCUGGGGCCAACACUGACGCUCAUGCACGAAAGCGUGGGGAGCGAACAGG
rnacentral:rRNA from 1 species